GCAGGUUAAUUAAUGUUAUUGUAGUUGUUAGUAUUUAUAUUGUUGUUAAAAUACAUUAAUACAAAUUUAAUUCACAUGUUGAUUGGUUGGACUAAGAUGUUUACCCAGCACCUUCUAUAGAUAUUUCUGUAUUUGGUUUUUAAUAUUUCAUAUAGCCAUCUAGCUGAACACAGUUUGGUUUAGAUAGAACACACAAGUGAAGACCGUCAUCACAAUCUGGCCCUGGUCCAAGACUCUCAGAUCCUUAGCCCGUGUUUCCUGCGAGGCGCCACAUUCAUAACAAGCUGUCCCACACUGCACGAGUCCUUCCUGAGAACAACCCAUACAUUAAAGUACCUGAACAGAAUGUUCGUCUAAGAGGUUCUCAACUCAAAGUGAACUGCCCUGACCAGGCUGCAGUGCCUCUGAAUCCAUCAUGCUGUCAUGCUUACCACUGCUUCUUCACAGUCACAGCUGCACCUCUUGUCUGUAAAUGGGACCAGCUAUGUUGGACACAGUUUGAGUUUGAAUUCAAGAGUCUCUGUGCAACAGCUAAUGCAUCAAGUGCACUGCACAAUCAGUCUCUUACGCUGGGAACACAGGGACGGGGAAGACUGGGACAGAGCAUCUCCAAAACAGGGUGUUCCCGGUGUGCAGUAGUUGGUACCAACUGAAAGUGGUUCAAGGAAGGACAACUGUUGAACUGGUGACAAGGUCAUGGGUGCCCAAAGCUCGUUCAUGUAUGUGGGGAGCAAAGGCUAGCCUGUCUGGUCCAAUCCCACAGAAAAGUUAUACCAUUACACCUUAAUUUUGAUAGUGUUUUAUAGGCAGCUUUAAUGACAGACUCGAGUGAAUAAUUAAAAAGAUACAAUGAUAGUUAUUGAAUGUAAAUAGUCUGAUUAGCAAAGACCCUAACUAAAACACAGAAUACAAGCACUAAUAUUUAAUGGGUAUUUAAUUAUUUGUAAAUUAUAUUGAAAACAUUACACUGUUGUGAAGAUAUUUGAAAUUGUUUUGUAAAAGGUGUCAUUAUGUUGGGGCCUAGCUCUCAUUGCUUCUACACUGUUUUGACCAGCAGGUGUCGCCAGCGUGUGGUGUUCAUUUUGUGAAUCAUUUUUGUGAAGCAAUUGUUUCAAUUGAUUCGAAGCUUUGAAAAGCCUCGUUUCUUCCAUCACUACCUGAUACACUGUUGCUUGUGUUGAACUCUUUCUCAGUAAAAUAUACUUAUUCUUCA